GGUGAGUGGUGUAAUGGCUAACACAUCAGUCCGGUCUACUGAAGAUGCUGGUUCGCUCCCAGCCGCCG
rnacentral:tRNA from 1 species